rnacentral:rRNA from 1 species
AUGAGUCUCCUCUGCUGGAACUGUCGCGGGGCUGGCAAACCCAUGACAGUUCGAGAGCUUCGUGACCUAACGAAGCAGUUUGCCCCCUCUGUACUUUGUAUUUUGGAAACUCAAAUAGAGGGUUCUAGAGUCGAGAUUUUGGUUGGUUCUUUAGGUUAUAAUAAGAGCUUUGCUGUUUCUAGCUCUGGCAGAAGCGGCGGCUUAGGCAUUUUUUGGAAUGAAGAAAUA